UAAAGAAUUUCGGUAUGGGAUGGGGAUGCGUUCCAUUAGUUAGUUGGCGGGGUAACGGCCCACCAAGACAACGAUGGAUAGGGGUUCUGAGAGGAAGGUCCCCCACAUUGGAACUGAGACACGGUCCAAACUCCUACGGGAGGCAGCAGUGAGGAAUAUUGGUCAAUGGACGAGAGUCUGAACCAGCCAAGUAGCGUGAAGGAUGACUGCCCUAUGGGUUGUAAACUUCUUUUAUAUGGGAAUAAAAUGUUCCACGUGUGGGAUUUUGUAUGUACCAUAUGAAUAAGGAUCGGCUAACUCCGUGCCAGCAGCCGCGGUAAUACGGAGGAUCCGAGCGUUAUCCGGAUUUAUUGGGUUUAAAGGGAGCGUAGGUGGAUUGUUAAGUCAGUUGUGAAAGUUUGCGGCUCAACCGUAAAAUUGCAGUUGAAGCUGGCAGUCUUGAGUACAGUAGAGGUGGGCGGAAUUCGUGGUGUAGCGGUGAAAUGCUUAGAUAUCACGAAGAACUCCGAUUGCGAAGGCAGCUCACUGGACUGCAACUGACACUGAGGCUCGAAAGUGUGGGUAUCAAACAGGAUUAGAUACCCUGGUAGUCCACACAGUAAACGAUGAAUACUCGCUGUUUGCGAUAUACAGCAA
rnacentral:rRNA from 1 species